UUUACAUACUCGGCAAAAGCUCCAGGAUGCUUAGCUCCAAUGACUGUUAAUUUCUCGCAUUGCGAUAGGAAUCCUUUUUUACAACUUUCACACUUGCCACAAUAAAGCGCCGGACA
rnacentral:antisense_RNA from 1 species